AUGCAUUGGCAAGCUUCGAAAAAAAUGGCAAUCCCUAAGUCCAAGGGUCGCAUGGGAUUUAGGGAUAUGGAAGUUUUCAAUGAUACAAUGUUGGCCAAGCAGGCUUGGAGACUAUUAGAAUAUCCUAAUAGCUUGUGUGCGAGGGUAUUGAAAGGGUGAUACUAUCCAGAUGGUUUGUUCCUAUCUGCAAACUGCCCCGCAAGUGCCUCUCGAACUUGGAAGGCAAUUAUAUGUGGGUGUGAGAUCCUGAAGGCGGGGCUUAUUCGCUGUAUUGGAGAUGGAACAAAGACGGAGAUAUGGCAUGACAAUUGGAUUGAGGGCACAAGAUCCAUGCGCCCAAUAGGGAGGCUCACUCAUAACCCGGUUCAGCUGGUUGGUGAUUUGUUGGAUCUGGACACUGGGAAGUGGGAUGAUGAGAUGGUACGUCAAGUAUUCCUGCCACCAGAUGUUGAAGUUAUAUUGGCAAUGUCGAGGCCUAGACGAGGUGGAGAGGAUAUUUGGGCGUGGGCGUGGGAGAAAUCUGGUGCUUUCAGUGUAAGAUUAGCCUACCGAGAGAUAAUGGACAGAAAACAAAACUUGCAGGCCAGGAAGGGUAGUUCUCGGGGGGCUGAUCACACGUGGAAGGAGCUCUGGAAGCUAAAGUGCUGCCGAAGAUCUAGGUCUUCUGGUAGCGGGUACCCUGCAUGA
rnacentral:rRNA from 1 species